rnacentral:lncRNA from 1 species
CUUCUUCCACUUGACUUGGAAGUUCAACCACUAUUGCUACAGUCGGUGUUGGCUCAGUAUUAAUCCCUAUUUGGCCAUUUCAGUAUUAAUCUCCAUUUGACCAUCUUCUUGCCACGUUUGUCAGGUGUCAAUUCCACGUACCCCGCAUGAGUGUUUGCAUGUUGUUGCAAUCGGUGUAGUCGGUGCUCACUGCUGCUGGCCACGUUUGUUUGCUGGUUGUCGGUGAUCGCAGCUGCCACUCACAGUUACUGACUCAUCAUGGCUUGCAUGAUCAUAAGUAUGUUUCUCAUUGAGCAACAGCACAUUAUCGGUGCUUUGGUGUAACAGACCAUCAUCAUUACACAUACUUAAUUUAUUAUAAUUGAUCUGUAAUUUCAACCAAGGCUGCUGCAAUCGGUGAAUGUUCAGCAUCAUUCCCCAUUUAAUCAUCUUCUUCAAAUAUAAGAUUGUCAUUGUCCAUCUCUAACUCCAUAAACAACUUGGUAGAUUAGUCUUACAAAUCGUACUCCUUACUAUGUCCAUUAGGGUUCUCCUUCUUUUCUUAGCCACUUCGUUUUGCUCGAGAUUUCUAGUGUGGUGUAUUGAGCUACAAUUCCAUUUUCUUGUAGAAAAAGAAAAAAAAGGGCAAAUGGACUAAGAUGUCUGCCAGUUUGAGUGUAUCUACCAUUGUAUUCACCUCUCCUAUCAGACCUAACCUCCU